AACGAACGCUGGCGGCAGGCCUAACACAUGCAAGUCGAGCGGACCCUUCGGGGUUAGCGGCGGACGGGUGAGUAACGCGUGGGAAUAUGCCCUUCUCUACGGAAUAGUCCUGGGAAACUGGGGGUAAUACCGUAUACGCUCUUUGGGGGAAAGAUUUAUCGGGGAAGGAUUAGCCCGCGUUGGAUUAGGUAGUUGGUGGGGUAAUGGCCUACCAAGCCGACGAUCCAUAGCUGGUUUGAGAGGAUGAUCAGCCACACUGGGACUGAGACACGGCCCAGACUCCUACGGGAGGCAGCAGUGGGGAAUCUUAGACAAUGGGGGCAACCCUGAUCGAGCCAUGCCGCGUGAGUGAUGAAGGCCUUAGGGUUGUAAAGCUCUUUCAGCUGGGAAGAUAAUGACGGUACCAGCAGAAGAAGCCCCGGCUAACUCCGUG
rnacentral:rRNA from 1 species